UCUGUAAAACAGUUGUAUAAAACGGCCGUUUAGAUUCCAUGGUUGCUACGUUUGUCUCCACCAUAACAGAUCAGAAUUUAAACAAAAACAAUUUCUCAGAAGGUCAAAAAGUUAAUUUUCGAACUUUCACUCGACGAUUUAUCUGAAAUUAUCGCCUCAACUCUGCACUUCUUACAUCCUGUCCAGAGUUAAAGACCCAAAGUAAAAAGUCGCAGCAAGAAAACUGACUUCCAUCAUGGAAAAUAGUAAUGUUCCGAGCCACCUGUUGGACCACACCUACUACAAAGUUAUUAGAGUUUCAGCACGCCUGACACAGGCUGCCAAGAGACCAGCAGCCUGCAGAGACUGCUCCUGCUGCAGUGACAACCAGCACUCUGAAGCUCCUGCAAACCCACCCCAAAAAAGGAGGCGCACCUCUGUUGCUCAGCCUUCAACACCUCCUGCUGAUACUCCAGCUUCAUCUAAUCUGGUCCUGAAGCCUCGCGCUCCAAUUUCACCUGCUGACUUACCUUUGGUCUCUCCUGUGCCCUCCAGCCCCCAGCCCACUGCUCCACCUCUCCCAGACGAGCCCCUGAUGAUAUGCGGCCUCCCCGUGGAAGAGUACCAGCAGCUCUACCAUGAAGUUGUCGACGACAUGCUGAGGUUCAAGAAUGGCCGGCAGCGUCCAUAUACUUUGGCCCUGGGUCGCCGCAUCAAGCAGAAGCUGUGGGAGAGGCUGGACCGUCCGACCUUCACCGAGACAGUCGACGCAGACGGCCGGGUGCAUGUGGACACAUCAUACGGGGUUGGUGUCCACCCUCCCCAGUAUGAUGUGGACACAUCAGAAGAACCAGGGCCCAGUAAACGUCCCAUCAAAAGAGCUAAGCAUUAAAAAUGAUUUAUUAUCAUUCUAAUAGCUCUCUUAAGGUUUAGUUUAGUUGUGUUUAGUUUUAGUUUAGUUUAGUUUAGUAUUGUUAAGGUUUAGUUGAAUAUUGUUUAGAUUUAGUUUAGUAGUGUUUAGGUUUAGUUUAGUUGUGUUUAGUUUUAGUUUCGUAUUGUUAAGGUUUAGUUUAGUUGUGUUUAGUUUUAGUUUAGUAUUGUUAAGGUUUAGUUUAGUAUUGUUAAGGUUUAGUCUAGUUGUGUUUAGUUUUAAUUUAGUAUUGUUAAGGUUUAGUUUAGUUGUGUUUAGUUUUAGUUUAGUAUUGUUAAGGUUUAGUUUAGUAUUGUUAAGGUUUAGUUGAAUAUUGUUUAGAUUUAGUUUAGUAGUGUUUAGGUUAAGUUUAGUGUUGUUAAGGUUUAGUCUAGUUGUGUUUAGUUUUAGUUUAGUAUUGUUAAGGUUUAGUUUAGUUGUGUUUAGUUUUAGUUUAGUAUUGUUAAGGUUUAGUUUAGUAUUGUUAAGGUUUAGUUUAGUUGUGUUUAGUUUUAGUUUAGUUUAGUUUAGUAUUGUUAAGGUUUAGUUGAAUAUUGUUUAGAUUUAGUUUAGUAGUGUUUAGGUUUAGUUUAGUUGUGUUUAGUUUUAGUUUCGUAUUGUUAAGGUUUAGUUUAGUAUUGUUAAGGUUUAGUCUAGUUGUGUUUAGUUUUAAUUUAGUAUUGUUAAGGUUUAGUUUAGUUGUGUUUAGUUUUAGUUUAGUAUUGUUAAGGUUUAGUUUAGUAUUGUUAAGGUUUAGUUGAAUAUUGUUUAGAUUUAGUUUAGUAGUGUUUAGGUUAAGUUUAGUGUUGUUAAGGUUUAGUCUAGUUGUGUUUAGUUUUAGUUUAGUAUUGUUAAGGUUUAGUUUAGUUGUGUUUAGUUUUAGUUUAGUAUUGUUAAGGUUUAGUUUAGUAUUGUUAAGGUUUAAUUUAAUAUUGUUUAGGUUUAGUUAAGUAUUGUUAAGGUUUAGUCUAGUUGUGUUAAGGUUUAAUGAAAUAUUGUUUAGGUUUAGUUAAAUAUUGUCAAGUUUAAGUUUAGAUAGUGUUGAGUUUAGUGGUGAGUUUAGGAUUUGUAGUUAUAACUUUAAUAUUUGUAGUUUUAAGUGUCACACUAAAGAGUUGUCCAGUUUUUGAGUUUCAGGAAAUGCAGCCUCCACCUUCAAUUUGAACAGACACCUGGCAGAACAGCCUUUGAAAACCAGCUCCACCCUCCGUCCUCCAAUUCACACUAAAACUCAGCCCUUCACCACCUACCUCUGAAGUACUCUGCUCCAUCUUCCACCCGCAGCC